rnacentral:rRNA from 1 species
UACGUAGGGUGCAAGCGUUGUCCGGAAUUAUUGGGCGUAAAGGGUGCGUAGGCGGUUUGGUAAGUCUGAUGUGAAAUCUAUGGGCUCAACUCAUAGUCUGCGAUCGGAAACUGCCGGGCUUGAGUGUGGGAGAGGUGAGUGGAAUUCCUGGUGUAGCGGUGAAAUGCGUAGAUAUCAGGAGGAACACCUGUGGCGAAAGCGGCUCACUGGACCAUAACUGACGCUGAUGCACGAAAGCUAGGGGGAGCAAACAGG